rnacentral:rRNA from 1 species
UAGGGAAUCUUCCACAAUGGACGCAAGUCUGAUGGAGCAACGCCGCGUGAGUGAAGAAGGUCUUCGGAUACGUAAAACUCUGUUGUUAGAGAAGAACACGAGUGAGAGUAACUGUUCAUUCGAUGACGGUAUCUAACCAGCAAGUCACGGCUAACUACGUACCAG